CGGAGAAGAGCGGCGGACGGGUGAGUAACGCGUGGGUAACCUGCCCUGUACACACGGAUAACAUACCGAAAGGUAUGCUAAUACGAGAUAACAUAAGAACUUCGCAUGUUUUUCUUAUCAAAGCUCCGGCGGUACAGGAUGGACCCGCGUCUGAUUAGCUAGUUGGUGAGGUAACGGCUCACCAAGGCGACGAUCAGUAGCCGACCUGAGAGGGUGAUCGGCCACAUUGGAACUGAGACACGGUCCAAACUCCUACGGGAGGCAGCAGUGGGGAAUAUUGCACAAUGGGCGAAAGCCUGAUGCAGCAACGCCGCGUGAGCGAUGAAGGCCUUCGGGUCGUAAAGCUCUGUCCUCAAGGAAGAUAAUGACGGUACUUGAGGAGGAAGCCCCGGCUAACUACGUGCCAGCAGCCGCGGUAAUACGUAGGGGGCUAGCGUUAUUCGGAUUUACUGGGCGUAAAGGGUGCGUAGGCGGUCUUUUAAGUCAGGAGUGAAAGGCUACGGCUCAACCGUAGUAAGCUCUUGAAACUGGAGGACUUGAGUGCAGGAGAGGAGAGUGGAAUUCCUAGUGUAGCGGUGAAAUGCGUAGAUAUUAGGAGGAACACCAGUAGCGAAGGCGGCUCUCUGGACUGUAACUGACGCUGAGGCACGAAAGCGUGGGGAGCAA
rnacentral:rRNA from 1 species